rnacentral:ncRNA from 2 species
AACGCACCUUGCGCUCCUUGGUAUUCCGAGGAGCAUGCCUGUUUGAGUGUCAUUUAAUUCUCAACCAUCCCUCGAUUCGUUUCGAGGGUUUGGCUUGGAUUUUGGGGGCUGCCGGGCGACCCUAGGGUCUUCGGCUCUCCUUAAAAGCAUUAGCGAUGGCGGCGCGAUCUAACCCCCCCAUGCAUGAACGGCCUUCGACGUGAUAAUGAUCGUCGUGGCUGGAGUGUUGUUAGUGGGUGUCGUGAAAGUCGGCGCUUCUAAAGACCUCGUCGAAAGACGAAAACUCGAAACUUGACCUCAAAUCAGGUAGGACUACCCGCUGAACUUAA